CAAGCUUGCUUGGUGGAUCAGUGGCGAACGGGUGAGUAACACGUGAGCAACCUGCCCUGGACUCUGGGAUAAGCGCUGGAAACGGCGUCUAAUACUGGAUAUGAGCCCCUAUCGCAUGGUGGGGGUUGGAAAGAUUUUUUGGUCUGGGAUGGGCUCGCGGCCUAUCAGCUUGUUGGUGAGGUAAUGGCUCACCAAGGCGUCGACGGGUAGCCGGCCUGAGAGGGUGACCGGCCACACUGGGACUGAGACACGGCCCAGACUCCUACGGGAGGCAGCAGUGGGGAAUAUUGCACAAUGGGCGAAAGCCUGAUGCAGCAACGCCGCGUGAGGGAUGACGGCCUUCGGGUUGUAAACCUCUUUUAGCAGGGAAGAAGCGAAAGUGACGGUACCUGCAGAAAAAGCGCCGGCUAACUACGUGCCAGCAGCCGCGGUAAUACGUAGGGCGCAAGCGUUAUCCGGAAUUAUUGGGCGUAAAGAGCUCGUAGGCGGUUUGUCGCGUCUGCUGUGAAAUCCCGAGGCUCAACCUCGGGCCUGCAGUGGGUACGGGCAGACUAGAGUGCGGUAGGGGAGAUUGGAAUUCCUGGUGUAGCGGUGGAAUGCGCAGAUAUCAGGAGGAACACCGAUGGCGAAGGCAGAUCUCUGGGCCGUAACUGACGCUGAGGAGCGAAAGGGUGGGGAGCAUACAGGCUUAGAUACCCUGGUAGUCCACCCCGUAAACGUUGGGAACUAGUUGUGGGGACCAUUCCACGGGUUUCCGUGACGCAGCUAACGCAUUAAGUUCCCCGCCUGGGGAGUACGGCCGCAAGGCUAAAACUCAAGGAAUUGACGGGGACCCGCAC
rnacentral:rRNA from 1 species